UGGGGAAUAUUGCACAAUGGGCGCAAGCCUGAUGCAGCCAUGCCGCGUGUAUGAAGAAGGCCUUCGGGUUGUAAAGUACUUUCAGCGGGGAGGAAGGGAGUAAAGUUAAUACCUCUGCCUAUUGACGUUACCCGCAGAAGAAGCACCGGCUAACUCCGUGCCAGCAGCCGCGGUAAUACGGAGGGUGCAAGCGUUAAUCGGAAUUACUGGGCGUAAAGCGCACGCAGGCGGUUUGUUAAGUCAGAUGUGAAAUCCCCGGGCUCAACCUGGGAACUGCAUCUGAUACUGGCACGCUUGAGUCUCGUAGAGGGGGGUAGAAUUCCAGGUGUAGCGGUGAAAUGCGUAGAGAUCUGGUGGAAUACCGGUGGCGAGGGCGACCCCCUGGACAAAGACUGACGCUCAGGUGCGAAAGCGUGGGGAGCAAACAGG
rnacentral:rRNA from 1 species